rnacentral:rRNA from 1 species
GGGUUGUGAGGUUAAGCGACUAAGCGUACACGGUGGAUGCCCUGGCAGUCAGAGGCGAUGAAGGACGUGCUAAUCUGCGAUAAGCGUCGGUAAGGUGAUAUGAACCGUUAUAACCGGCGAUUUCCGAAUGGGGAAACCCAGUGUGUUUCGACACACUAUCAUUAACUGAAUCCAUAGGUUAAUGAGGCGAACCGGGGGAACUGAAACAUCUAAGUACCCCGAGGAAAAGAAAUCAACCGAGAUUCCCCCAGUAGCGGCGAGCGAACGGGGAGCAGCCCAGAGCCUGAAUCAGUGUGUGUGUUAGUGGAAGCGUCUGGAAAGGCGCGCGAUACAGGGUGACAGCCCCGUACACAAAAAUGCACAUACUGUGAGCUCGAUGAGUAGGGCGGGACACGUGGUAUCCUGUCUGAAUAUGGGGGGACCAUCCUCCAAGGCUAAAUACUCCUGACUGACCGAUAGUGAACCAGUACCGUGAGGGAAAGGCGAAAAGAACCCCGGCGAGGGGAGUGAAAAAGAACCUGAAACCGUGUACGUACAAGCAGUGGGAGCACGCUUCGGCGUGUGACUGCGUACCUUUUGUAUAAUGGGUCAGCGACUUAUAUUCUGUAGCAAGGUUAACCGAAUAGGGGAGCCGAAGGGAAACCGAGUCUUAACUGGGCGUUAAGUUGCAGGGUAUAGACCCGAAACCCGGUGAUCUAGCCAUGGGCAGGUUGAAGGUUGGGUAACACUAACUGGAGGACCGAACCGACUAAUGUUGAAAAAUUAGCGGAUGACUUGUGGCUGGGGGUGAAAGGCCAAUCAAACCGGGAGAUAGCUGGUUCUCCCCGAAAGCUAUUUAGGUAGCGCCUCGUGAAUUCAUCUCCGGGGGUAGAGCACUGUUUCGGCAAGGGGGUCAUCCCGACUUACCAACCCGAUGCAAACUGCGAAUACCGGAGAAUGUUAUCACGGGAGACACACGGCGGGUGCUAACGUCCGUCGUGAAGAGGGAAACAACCCAGACCGCCAGCUAAGGUCCCAAAGUCAUGGUUAAGUGGGAAACGAUGUGGGAAGGCCCAGACAGCCAGGAUGUUGGCUUAGAAGCAGCCAUCAUUUAAAGAAAGCGUAAUAGCUCACUGGUCGAGUCGGCCUGCGCGGAAGAUGUAACGGGGCUAAACCAUGCACCGAAGCUGCGGCAGCGACACUAUGUGUUGUUGGGUAGGGGAGCGUUCUGUAAGCCUGUGAAGGUGUGCUGUGAGGCAUGCUGGAGGUAUCAGAAGUGCGAAUGCUGACAUAAGUAACGAUAAAGCGGGUGAAAAGCCCGCUCGCCGGAAGACCAAGGGUUCCUGUCCAACGUUAAUCGGGGCAGGGUGAGUCGACCCCUAAGGCGAGGCCGAAAGGCGUAGUCGAUGGGAAACAGGUUAAUAUUCCUGUACUUGGUGUUACUGCGAAGGGGGGACGGAGAAGGCUAUGUUGGCCGGGCGACGGUUGUCCCGGUUUAAGCGUGUAGGCUGGUUUUCCAGGCAAAUCCGGAAAAUCAAGGCUGAGGCGUGAUGACGAGGCACUACGGUGCUGAAGCAACAAAUGCCCUGCUUCCAGGAAAAGCCUCUAAGCAUCAGGUAACAUUAAAUCGUACCCCAAACCGACACAGGUGGUCAGGUAGAGAAUACCAAGGCGCUUGAGAGAACUCGGGUGAAGGAACUAGGCAAAAUGGUGCCGUAACUUCGGGAGAAGGCACGCUGAUAUGUAGGUGAAGUCCCUCGCGGAUGGAGCUGAAAUCAGUCGAAGAUACCAGCUGGCUGCAACUGUUUAUUAAAAACACAGCACUGUGCAAACACGAAAGUGGACGUAUACGGUGUGACGCCUGCCCGGUGCCGGAAGGUUAAUUGAUGGGGUUAGCGGUAACGCGAAGCUCUUGAUCGAAGCCCCGGUAAACGGCGGCCGUAACUAUAACGGUCCUAAGGUAGCGAAAUUCCUUGUCGGGUAAGUUCCGACCUGCACGAAUGGCGUAAUGAUGGCCAGGCUGUCUCCACCCGAGACUCAGUGAAAUUGAACUCGCUGUGAAGAUGCAGUGUACCCGCGGCAAGACGGAAAGACCCCGUGAACCUUUACUAUAGCUUGACACUGAACAUUGAGCCUUGAUGUGUAGGAUAGGUGGGAGGCUUUGAAGUGUGGACGCCAGUCUGCAUGGAGCCGACCUUGAAAUACCACCCUUUAAUGUUUGAUGUUCUAACGUUGACCCGUAAUCCGGGUUGCGGACAGUGUCUGGUGGGUAGUUUGACUGGGGCGGUCUCCUCCUAAAGAGUAACGGAGGAGCACGAAGGUUGGCUAAUCCUGGUCGGACAUCAGGAGGUUAGUGCAAUGGCAUAAGCCAGCUUGACUGCGAGCGUGACGGCGCGAGCAGGUGCGAAAGCAGGUCAUAGUGAUCCGGUGGUUCUGAAUGGAAGGGCCAUCGCUCAACGGAUAAAAGGUACUCCGGGGAUAACAGGCUGAUACCGCCCAAGAGUUCAUAUCGACGGCGGUGUUUGGCACCUCGAUGUCGGCUCAUCACAUCCUGGGGCUGAAGUAGGUCCCAAGGGUAUGGCUGUUCGCCAUUUAAAGUGGUACGCGAGCUGGGUUUAGAACGUCGUGAGACAGUUCGGUCCCUAUCUGCCGUGGGCGCUGGAGAACUGAGGGGGGCUGCUCCUAGUACGAGAGGACCGGAGUGGACGCAUCACUGGUGUUCGGGUUGUCAUGCCAAUGGCACUGCCCGGUAGCUAAAUGCGGAAGAGAUAAGUGCUGAAAGCAUCUAAGCACGAAACUUGCCCCGAGAUGAGUUCUCCCUGACUCCUUGAG